rnacentral:misc_RNA from 1 species
GGAUGUAUAGCUUCCAGUUGUAUUUGUCUUAGCAGAUCCAGCCGAAUGGGAAUUUCCAUAGAGAGAAAGAGGUAGCCAUCCUGACGGUCCUUCAACAGUACUUGAAUCUUUCCCAUGCCCAUGGCGACGUUUAGCAACAACAAAGAAACCAAUGAUCAGAGCUAAAACAACUGCUCCACAAACAACUCCAGCAAUCACCCCUGACUUCUUU